rnacentral:rRNA from 1 species
GACGAACCGUGCGAACGUUGUUCGGAAUCACUGGGCUUAAAGGGCGCGUAGGUGGUUUGCCAAGUCGGGGUUGAAAUCUUUCGGCUUAACCGGAAAAGUGGCUUCGAUACUGGCAAGCUGGAGGGAGGUAGGGGCGGAUGGAACUUCCGGCGGAGCGGUGAAAUGUGUUGAUAUCGGAAGGAACACCGGUGGCGAAAGCGAUCCGCUGGACCUCUUCUGACACUGAGGCGCGAAAGCCAGGGGAGCAAACGGG